rnacentral:lncRNA from 1 species
AGUGGCACACGUCUGUAGUUCCGGCUACUCAGGAAGCUGAGGUGGGAGGAUCACUUGAGCUCAGGAGUUUGAGGCCAACCUGGGCAACAUAGUGAGACCCCAUCUCACAAAUAAAUAAAUAAGUAAAAUUUAUUUAAAGAGAGACAGAGAGAGCAAUCUAGCACACAAGGAGUCAUUCCCCUUCAGGGACAGGCUGACUUGCACGACCUUGAAAGUGAGCACCUCCUUAACCGUCCCGAAGUUCAUCACGGCCCAUGGCAUCCUUACUGUACCUGCCUCCCUAUAUGAACUAUAAAUUGGGCCAUGUGCAUUUUUGUAUCUACUGGGGAUAGAACUAAGUUUGCACAUAGAAAACUCACAAGGAAUAUUAGUUUGCUUUGGAACAUAUUUUUAAAAUAAAUAAAUGCAUGGCCACAGUCCAGCACAUCCCCUAGGAACCAAGCUCUUCAGACUCUCUCAUCCUUGGCUUCCAUCUCUGUCUUGUCAAGCUGAAGUUUGUUCGGGAUUCACGUUCCCUGAAGGCUUCCAAGCAGAUAACGUGGCUACUACAGGCAUGUGGAGAAUUUCUCAGAGUAUUUCUACAGCAACGAACAGGCAUGAAGAACUGCUGAAACAUGGGGUUCAGAAGCAGGAAGUCAGCAGUUGGUCACUUAAGAGCACUACCCGCUCCUUGGUUUGAAGAUCUUCCUGAUUUUGAAUACAAACAUCUGAUAUUCCAGCUUUAGACUCCUCCACAAGAACUAGACUGUCAUCCUAUUUUGGCUUCCAGCUCAAUCCCUCUGCUACAAGUCCUGACUCCAGAGCUCUGUGGGAUAAUAAAAUACAAGAUCAUAGCUUGAAAAUAGAGUGUGCAUCUGGUGUGGAUUGUUGUUUUGGCUUAAUUAGGACUUGCUGUUUCCUGAAUUCCUAUAAUCUCAUUUGAUGAAUUGUGUUGGUUACUUGCUCUGCAGGCUUUGAGUAUGUGGCACAUUUCAGAGGAAAUGAUUUCCCCUUUCUUCUUUGAAAAUCAUAUUCUGGUGCAUUAAAAAAAGAAACCAAAUGUGUUUGGAUUUCUUUAGCUGUCCCUAGAAUUACCAAUGCUGUGAUAGACAUUUGCUUCUCUGGAGGAAGAAGUGCUUGGGUCCAGUGCAUUCAGCAGCACGUUCUAUUCAACAGGUUCAAAUGUGCACCUACGUGUGCAAGGCACAGUGGAAGUUACAGGGAUGAGUAAAACAUUCUUACUCUCCCAGGAUUUUUCAAGCCAAUUCAGGAGAGAGAUCCAUUGACAAGUAACUACAAUGCAAGGCAGACUAGAUAAAAGCUGUAAUACGGAUAAUCAUCCCUUUCAUUUACUUAUCUCAGUUUAGUUUACAAAGAACUUCCAUUACCUCAUUUGAUCCUCACAAUGGCCCUGUGAGAUAGAUGUUAUUAUCUUCAUUUUAGAGUUAUGGAAAGCCAAAG